rnacentral:tRNA from 1 species
GUUCCCAUGGCGUAGUGGUCACUGCGCUCGCCUUGCACGCGGGAGACCCGGGUUCGAUUCCUGGCGGGGUCA